UUGGCUUGGCUCGCGGGUGGGCACCAUGCAAGGCCUCGUCCAACCUUGGCUUGGCUCGCGGGCACCAAGCAAGGCCCCGUGGCACGCGUCGCGUGUCUUGGCUUGGCUCACGGGCGGGCACCAAGCAAGGCCCCGUGGCACGUGUCGCGUGUCUUGGCUUGGCUCACGGGCGGGCACCAAGCAAGGCCCCGCGGCACCUUGGCAUGGCUCGCGGGAGGGCACCAUGCAAGGUCCCGUGCCACCUUGGCUUGGCUCGCGGGCACCAAGCAAGGCCCCGUGGCACGCGUCGCGUGUCUUGGCUUGGCUCACGGGCGGGCACCAUGCAAGGCCUCGUGCCACCUUGGCUUGGCUCGCGGGCACCAAGCAAGGCCCCGUGGCACCUUGGCUUGGCUCGCGGGCGGGCACCAUGCAAGGCCUCGUGCCACCUUGGCUUGGCUCGCGGGCACCAAGCAAGGCCCCGUGGCACCUUGGC
rnacentral:lncRNA from 1 species